rnacentral:tRNA from 1 species
GGGGAUGUAGCUCAAUGGUAGAGUGCUUGCCUAGCAUGUGCAAGGCCCUAAGUUUCAUCCCCA